AUCCUGCUGAAGGGUCUCAGAUAGGACGAAACGUGCGUCCUGGAU
rnacentral:hammerhead_ribozyme from 1 species